AUGAAAAAAUUAUUAUUAAUUAAUAACCAAAUUUCCACUCUGUAGGGGGUGUUGUGGAUCGGGGAGGUGUGGCCAAGAAAAAGUGUUAGGCCUCUGCAAUGAAAGCCCAAUGGUUAUGUUGCUGCUUUACAUUCAGAAUAGGGGAGAUGCAGUGGUAAGAAGAGUGUGUGAUGUAGCAAAAUCCGUGGGCUCAACCUUGGAGGCCUAAAGUGUGUAGGAAUUGGAAUCUUUGUGUUGUUGUUGAUUAGAGGAGUGGCUUAUAAAGUGUGCAGAGUAUGCAGGGAGAGACUUAGGCUAUUCUCUAAUUGUGGAAAGCUUCAAGGUGAAGCUUGCACAAUCGUGGAGGAUGAGAGAGCUCUGUAGUGAGCUGAGAGGAGAGAGUGAUGAAUUACAGGGAGAUAGGUGAACUAUUGACGGUGAAGUUGCAGAGUGAAAAGGUUCUCUCGAGAUUGAAGAUGGAAUGUAGAUUAUAUAGAGAUUGAUUGGAGUGUAACUGUUUUUAAGGCAAUUAGGUCAAAGUUUGUUAAAGGGCUAAUGUGCACUUGGCUUUAGCACAUCAUGGCAUAUCAAGAUGGAAUUUUUGGAUAACAUCAAGGAUUAUAAAGAAGUUUUGAAGCCUUGAAUGCACAAUAAUGGUAGGACCUUGAGGAUGAAGGAAAAAUAGAGUUACGUAGUUUGACUUUGGUCAACUGUUUGACCACAAGUCAACAGUUGACCAAAGUCAACUCUAGGUCAAAUGUGUAAAAUUUUGUGUAGAAUUUGAUUUGACUCUUUUUUGUAAUGUAUUUGAUGAUUUUUUAGUGAAGAAAAUGAUCCUUGAAUGGUGUAUGUAACUUGAUUCUCAAGAAUAAAUUGUUUUCCCUCCAA